rnacentral:pre_miRNA from 1 species
AGUGGGAUAGCUGGGUUAAAUUGUGGUUCCAUUUCAAGUUUUCUGAGGAAUCUCCAUACUGCUUUCAAAGUGGUUGCACUAAUUUGCAGUCCCACCAGCAGU